UACGGAAGGGGCAAGCGUUGUUCGGAAUCAUUGGGCGUAAAGGGCGCGUAGGCGGCCUUCUAAGUCGAACGUGAAAUCCCCGGGCUCAACCCGGGAACUGCGUCCGAUACUGGAAGGCUUGAAUCCGGGAGAGGGAUGUGGAAUUCCAGGUGUAGCGGUGAAAUGCGUAGAUAUCUGGAGGAACACCGGUGGCGAAGGCGACAUCCUGGACCGGUAUUGACGCUGAGGCGCGAAAGCCAGGGGAGCAAACGGG
rnacentral:rRNA from 1 species